rnacentral:rRNA from 1 species
GACGAACGCUGGCGGCGUGCUUAACACAUGCAAGUCGAACGGAAAGGCCCUGCUUUUGUGGGGUGCUCGAGUUGCGAACGGGUGAGUAACACUUGAGUAACCUGCCCUUGACUUUGGGAUAACUUCAGGAAACUGGGGCUAAUACCGCAUAGGAGCUCCUGCUGCUUGGUGGGGGUUGGAUAGUUUCGGCGGUUGGGGAUGGACUCGCGGCUUAUCAGCUUGUUGGGGGGGUAGUGGAUUACCAAGGCUUUGACGGGUAGCCGGCCUGGGAGGGUGAGCGGCCACAUUGGAACUGAGAUGCGGCCCAGACUCCAACGGGAGGCAGCGGUGGGGAAGAGUGCACAAGGGGCGGAAGCAUGAUGUAGCAACGCCGCGUGCGGGAUGACGGGCUGCGGGUUGGAAAGCGCAGUCGCCUUAGACGAGGCGAGAGUGACGGUAAUGGGUGAAGAAGCACCGGCUAACUACGUG